CUACGUAGGGGGCGAGCGUUGUCCGGAAUGAUUGGGCGUAAAGGGCGCGUAGGCGGCGCGGUAAGUCUGGAGUGAAAGUCCUGCUUUCAAGGUGGGAAUUGCUUUGGAUACUGCCGCGCUUGAGUGCAGGAGAGGUUAUCGGAAUUCCCGGUGUAGCGGUGAAAUGCGUAGAGAUCGGGAGGAACACCAGUGGCGAAGGCGGGUAACUGGACUGCAACUGACGCUGAGGCGCGAAAGUGUGGGGAGCAAACAGGAUUAGAUACCCUGGUAGUCCACACUGUAAACGAUGAAUGCUAGGUGUAGGGGGUAUCGACCCCUUCUGUGCCGCAGUCAACACAAUAAGCAUUCCGCCUGGGGAGUACGGCCGCAAGGUUGAAACUCAAAUGAAUUGACGGGG
rnacentral:rRNA from 1 species